CCGGGUGGUUAUUGCGCAACGUCCCCACCCGAUCCCAUUCCGAACUCGGUCGUUAAGCGUUGCAGCGCCGAUGGUACUUUGUCUUAAGGCACGGGAGAGUAGGUCGCUGCCCGGU
rnacentral:rRNA from 1 species